rnacentral:rRNA from 1 species
CCUUCAAGCGAGUGCUAUACAUGCAGUCGAACGCGUUGGCCCAAUUGAUUGAUGGUGCUUGCACCUGAUUGAUUUUGGUCGCCAACGAGUGGCGGACGGGUGAGUAACACGUAGGUAACCUGCCCAGAAGCGGGGGACAACAUUUGGAAACAGAUGCUAAUACCGCAUAACAGCGUUGUUCGCAUGAACAACGCUUAAAAGAUGGCUUCUCGCUAUCACUUCUGGAUGGACCUGCGGUGCAUUAGCUUGUUGGUGGGGUAACGGCCUACCAAGGCGAUGAUGCAUAGCCGAGUUGAGAGACUGAUCGGCCACAAUGGGACUGAGACACGGCCCAUACUCCUACGGGAGGCAGCAGUAGGGAAUCUUCCACAAUGGGCGCAAGCCUGAUGGAGCAACACCGCGUGAGUGAAGAAGGGUUUCGGCUCGUAAAGCUCUGUUGUUAAAGAAGAACACGUAUGAGAGUAACUGUUCAUACGUUGACGGUAUUUAACCAGAAAGUCACGGCUAACUACGUGCCAGCAGCCGCGGUAAUACGUAGGUGGCAAGCGUUAUCCGGAUUUAUUGGGCGUAAAGAGAGUGCAGGCGGUUUUCUAAGUCUGAUGUGAAAGCCUUCGGCUUAACCGGAGAAGUGCAUCGGAAACUGGAUAACUUGAGUGCAGAAGAGGGUAGUGGAACUCCAUGUGUAGCGGUGGAAUGCGUAGAUAUAUGGAAGAACACCAGUGGCGAAGGCGGCUACCUGGUCUGCAACUGACGCUGAGACUCGAAAGCAUGGGUAGCGAACAGGAUUAGAUACCCUGGUAGUCCAUGCCGUAAACGAUGAGUGCUAGGUGUUGGAGGGUUUCCGCCCUUCAGUGCCGGAGCUAACGCAUUAAGCACUCCGCCUGGGGAGUACGACCGCAAGGUUGAAACUCAAAGGAAUUGACGGGGGCCCGCACAAGCGGUGGAGCAUGUGGUUUAAUUCGAAGCUACGCGAAGAACCUUACCAGGUCUUGACAUCUUGCGCCAACCCUAGAGAUAGGGCGUUUCCUUCGGAACGCAAUGACAGGUGGUUGCAUGGUCGUCGUCAGCUCGUGUCGUGAGAUGUGGAUAGUCCCGCACGAGCGCAACCUGUACUAGUUGCCAGCAUUAAGUUUGGGCCACCUCCUUAA